rnacentral:lncRNA from 1 species
ACCAUCUAGAACUACAGUAUAAGAAAAUCAUGAGAUUUGAGACAAAGACAGGAGACUUACAUGAAGCUUUCAGGCCAACUACCUUGGAUUUCAGCCAGAAAUAGUCUGCCUCAUAAAAUGUGGAAGGGAAACAUAACACUGGAAGUCAUACUUUGACAUCUGAAUAUGAGUGACAUGGCAUAGGUGUGCCCUAUUCACAAAUUUGUAAGCACAAGCAUGUAAAUAAACACAUAUACACAGGCUUUAAAUACACACACACACACACACACACACACACACACACAAACACACAUAUACCAACCAUGACCCACAGGUGUCUGUGGAUAUACCAUUAGUAAGAAGCCCACAAUGAUUUCUGUAUGGUUUUGCAAAUAUUGAACAAGCUUCUGCUUUAUUUAUUGCAAAUGUUACUGGAUGACUUUCUAGGUAAAGUGUUCAGGGUUGGAGCUGUAUGAAAUCUGUAAUCCUAGAUCUGUCUUUAGGAAACCAAUACUGUUGCAGACUCUCCUGUGGUAUACUAAGCCUCAAAAUAACCUCUUCCUAAAAGGACCUACCAAAGUUGUACUUGGGUCUGGAGAGAAGGUUCAGUAGUUACUAACUAGCACCUGUUCUAUAGACCCCAUAUUCCAUUCCCACCACCCAUAUGGUUCAGAGCCAACAGGAAUUCAAAUGUCAUAGUACCUUACACCCCCUGCUGGCCUCUCCUGGCACUACAGAGACACAUGCAAAUGAAGCCCUGAUACACAUCAAAUAAAAUUAAGGAUUAAAGACAAAUUUUGGUUUCAUGAAAUGAAUUCUACUUCCAUUCAACAUUUUACAAAGAAUAAUGGGAUUCACUCAUUUUCAUAAUUAGCCUUUGGAGGCAGAUAUAAGAAUUUAAUUUAUGUUUUGAUAGUACAGAAUAAAGACUCUAAAUAUGUUCUCACACAAUUGCUGGAUGUGUGUAUGUGUGUGGUAUGUGUCCCUUUUUACAAAACAGAAUGUACUUUACCUAUGCUCUUUAUAUUUAUGCUGUGACUUUAAUAUUUCUAUAAGAAAUAAAUGUUUUGUAAUUAUAAUUAUGGCUCCAAG